AACGAACGCUGGCGGCAGGCUUAACACAUGCAAGUCGAACGCAUCCUUCGGGGUGAGUGGCAGACGGGUGAGUAACGCGUGGGAACGUGCCCUUCAGUUCGGGAUAACCCAGGGAAACUUGGGCUAAUACCGGAUACGUGCGAGAGCAGAAAGAUUUAUCGCUGAAGGAUCGGCCCGCGUCUGAUUAGCUAGUUGGUGGGGUAAUGGCCCACCAAGGCGACGAUCAGUAGCUGGUCUGAGAGGAUGAUCGGCCACAUUGGGACUGAGACACGGCCCAAACUCCUACGGGAGGCAGCAGUGGGGAAUAUUGGACAAUGGGCGCAAGCUUGAUCCAGCCAUGCCGCGUGAGUGAUGAAGGCCUUAGGGUUGUAAAGCUCUUUCGUCCGGGACGAUAAUGACGGUACCGAAAGAAGAAGCCCCGGCUAACUUCGUGCCAGCAGCCGCGGUAA
rnacentral:rRNA from 1 species